AGGUUGUAGCUCUAGCCAAUCAAAAGCUGCUUGGUCUUAAUCCUGAAAGCCUUAACGUACAUGGUGGGGCUGUAUCAUUGGGACACCCAUUAGGAUGCAGUGGAGCUCGUAUCUUGGUCACAUUAUUA